AACGAACGCUGGCGGCAUGCCUAACACAUGCAAGUCGAACGAGAUCUUCGGGUCUAGUGGCGCACGGGUGCGUAACGCGCGGGAACCUGCCCUUUGGUUCGGAAUAACAGUUGGAAACGACUGCUAAUACCGGAUGAUGACGAAAGUCCAAAGAUUUAUCGCCAGAGGAUGAGCCCGCGUAGGAUUAGCUAGUUGGUGUGGUAAAGGCGCACCAAGGCGACGAGCCUUAGCGGGUCUGAGAGGAUUAUCAGCCACACUGGGACUGAGACACGUCCCAGACUCCUACGGGAGGCAUCAGUGGGGAAUAUUGGACAAUGGGCGAAAGCCUGAUCCAGAAAUGCCGCGUAAGUGAUGAAGGCCUUAGGGUUGUAAAGCUCAUUUACCCGGGAUGAUAAUGACAGUACCGGGAGAAUAAGCUCCUGCUAACUCCGUGCCAGCCGCCGCAGUAA
rnacentral:rRNA from 1 species